AACGAACGCUGGCGGCAUGCCUAACACAUGCAAGUCGAACGAGAUCUUCGGGUCUAGUGGCGCACGGGUGCGUAACGCGUGGGAAUCUGCCCUUUGGUUCGGAAUAACAGUUGGAAACGACUGCUAAUACCGGAUGAUGACGAAAGUCCAAAGAUUUAUCGCCAGAGGAUGAGCCCGCGUAGGAUUAGCUAGUUGGUGUGGUAAAGGCGCACCAAGGCGACGAUCCUUAGCUGGUCUGGGAGGAUGAGCAGCCACACUGGGACUGAGACACGGCCCAGACUCCUACGGGAGGCAGCAGUGGGGAGUAUUGGACAAUGGGCGAAAGCCUGAUCCAGCAAUGCCGCGUGAGUGAUGAAGGCCUUAGGGUUGUAAAGCUCUUUUACCCGGGAUGGUAAUGACAGUACCGGGAGAAUAAGCUCCGGCUAACUCCGUGCCAGCCGCCGCCGUAAAAC
rnacentral:rRNA from 1 species